GUUGCGGUAGACCAGUCGGGUUCGGCGUUGGGGGUGUCGAUAAUCUGCUCGAGCCGUUCAAUCAGCCCCUCAACAC
rnacentral:tRNA from 1 species